GCAGUGAGCCACCCCACCGCCGCGCCCAACGCAAAUGCGGGCGGGGAGGAAAGUCCGGGCUACGCAGGGCGCCCUGCUACCUAACGGGUAGGACUGGCCAAUCGGGCCAGGACAGCCAGUGCCACAGAAAAUAACCGCCCGCAAGGGUAAGGGUGAAAAGGUGCGGUAAGAGCGCACCAGCGGCUGGGUAACCACGCCGGCUGGGUAAACCUCAGGGGUUGCAAGACCAAAUAAGCGAACACGUCGGUGGCCCUCGGGCCAGCGGCACCGGGCGGCCCGCUCGGGUUCGCGGGUAGGUCGCUGGAGCCCGUCGGCGACGACGGGCCUAGAUAAAUGGUGGGGCCGCCCUGGGGGAAACUUUGGGGCGGACAGAACCCGGCUUAUCGGCUCACUGCGUAA
rnacentral:RNase_P_RNA from 1 species